rnacentral:rRNA from 1 species
CCCUUAGAUGCUCUGGGCCGCACGCGCGCUACACUGGUCGAUGCAACGAGUUUCUUUCCUUGGCCGAUAGGCCUGGGCAAUCUUUGAACAUCGAUCGUGAUCGGGAUAGAUUCUUGUAAUUUUUGAUCUUAAACGAGGAAUUCCUAGUAAACGCAAGUCAUCAGCUUGCAUUGAUUACGUCCCUGCCCUUUGUACACACCGCCCGUCGCACCUACCGAUUGAAUGGUCCGGUGAAAUCUCCGGACUGGCGUGAGUCGGAGCAAUCUGACAAACACCGGAAAGUUGAUUAAACCUUACCAUUUAGAGGAAGGUGAAGUCGUAACA